rnacentral:rRNA from 1 species
UACGUAGGGUGCGAGCGUUAAUCGGAAUUACUGGGCGUAAAGCGUGCGCAGGCGGUCCGUUAAGACAGAUGUGAAAAUCCCCGGGCUUAACCUGGGAACUGCAUUUGUGACUGGCGGACUCGAGUAUGGCAGAGGGGGGGUAGAAUUCCACGUGUAGCAGUGAAAUGCGUAGAGAUGUGGAGGAAUGACCGAUGGCGAAGGCAGCCCCCUGGGCCAAUACUGACGCUCAUGCAC